GUGUUAAUUAAAAAAAACAACUCCUUGUUCGUGCCGGAAGUGUGUUCUUUUGCUAAAGGUACUUCUUGAAGUUUCUGGCAGCAGAAAGUUGGACAAGGAUUUCACAGAACUCUAUAUGCAGCAACAGGCGGACAGAACAAUCGGCAACGGAAGCAGCGGCAGUACAGUGUAAUUGCAGUGUGCAGACACAUAGCUGUAAAGAAUUAUCUGUCCAAGAAAUUUUUCCCUAGCAUGAUUAUUAUGGAACGUACCGGAACUGGGACACAUAUCUGCUGGCAUCAAUCCCCAAAGUAUAUACUCCAGCCGUCGCGGAGGCGGAGGCGGAGAUAUUCGAUAUCCGGAAAAGAAUUUCUGCUGUUUUUGACUGUACUAAGCGGGUUAUGAGAAACAUGUCAGAUUCAUCGAAGAUGUCACAUUACGGACAACCAGGUUGACAUAACCUGAUCACAUGUAGUUCUAGUAUUUAUUUGAUUUUGUCCUGUAUAUAAUUAUUUGGCUUUCGAACAAUUUCACUUCAUUACUACAACCUGUAAGUAAAUAGCGGAAAUUACGGUGCUGAUCGUAUAUAGAGAUGAACUACGAAGUUUGAGGUGGGGCCAUAUAUCCCAUUAUUAAAAUCAUGAGCCACAUACUCACCCACAGACACAUACACAAACAC